rnacentral:rRNA from 1 species
AGUGAACGCUGGCGGUAGGCCUAACACAUGCAAGUCGAACGGCAGCACAGUAAGAGCUUGCUCUUACGGGUGGCGAGUGGCGGACGGGUGAGGAAUACAUCGGAAUCUACUUUUUCGUGGGGGAUAACGUAGGGAAACUUACGCUAAUACCGCAUACGACCUACGGGUGAAAGCAGGGGAUCUUCGGACCUUGCGCGAUUGAAUGAGCCGAUGUCGGAUUAGCUAGUUGGCGGGGUAAAGGCCCACCAAGGCGACGAUCCGUAGCUGGUCUGAGAGGAUGAUCCACCAACCGGGAAAUGAGAACCGGCCCAAACCCCACGGGGGGGCAGCAGUGGGAAAUUUUGGAAAAUGGGCGCAAGCCUGAUCCAGCCAUACCGGGUGGGUGAAGAAGGCCUUCGGGUUGUAAAGCCCUUUUGUUGGGAAAAAAAAGCAGCAGGUUAAAACCCCGCUGUUCUGACGGUACCAAAAGAAUAAGCACCGGCUAACUUCGU